GUGGCAGGGUCUGGAGAAGGGACGGCAGGCGCCAUGUCCAGCCGCGAAGGUGGCAAGAAGAAGCCACUGAAACAGCACAAGAAGCAGGCCAAGGAGAUGGACGAGGAAGAUAAGGCUUUCAAGCAGAAACAAAAAGAGGAGCAGAAGAAACUCGAGGAGCUAAAAGCGAAGGCCGCGGGGAAGGGGCCCUUAGCCACAGGUGGAAUUAAGAAAUCUGGCAAAAAGUAACCUGUUCCUUGUGCCUGAGGAGAUGGCGACCCUUUAUUUCAUCCGUAUUUAAACCUUUCUAUUCCCUGCCAUAACAUCUUUUGCCACAUAUAGCUUGAAUUAAGUGUUGUCUUGGAGCUGUUGUACAUUUAAGAAUAAACUUUUGUAAAAAAAAAAAAAAAAAAAA